UCUCCACCCCCUCUCUCUUCCUCUUCAUCUCGUUGCUGUCAUUGGUGAGCACAAGGGCUCUGCCUAUUGCCGUUGAGUCUCGUCCUUUCCCAUUUCUCUUUCUUUGAUCUGUUACCGGUGCUUGAGUGGGAGAGGAACUGAAAUUCUUGAUCUCUUUCGCCUUCUCCUUCCUUCCUCCACUGCCUUCAACAUCACCGGUGUGGUUGUGAGCCGGAACGCCAUCAGCCGCUGCUGGAGAUCCAAUACAUGAUUUCUCCUACUCUCCUAUUUUGUGACGCUCUCUGAUCUCUGUUUGGCUGGCUGUUGUGCAUGCGUGAGGAUCUCUUUCUUCCUCUUCCUUGUUCGAGCAGCAGUAUAUCCUGUUAGUUUUCGUUAUUAUUGAUCAAAGGAAGUUUGGAAGGAGAGGAGAUCAAUUAAUGUGGUACGAAGAGGACCUUAUACUUUGAAAAAACUUCAGGGCACGACAAACUUCCUCUAACUCAUAAUCUUGAGGCUGACCAUGAUAAUGUUGAGAACGGUGAGCAUAGAAUAUCUCAGCAAACUAUGAAAGGAGUUCCAAAGAAGCGCUAUGAACAAGAGUUGAAGGCAAAAGAUAAGUAUCCAAUCUGUAACUAUACCUCAACAAUUAGAGGCAUAGAAGGAAAAAAGGACUUGUAUGGUGUUACUAUUCCAACAAACAUCCAAGAGGCGCUUGAGCAUCCAAAUUGGAUGGAAGCCAUGAAUGAAGAACUAACGACUCUACAAAAGAACCAAACAUGAGAGUUAGUUGAUUUAUCUAGAGGCAGGAAAACCGUAAGGUGUAAAUGGGUAUUGACACCUAUUCAAAGUAGAUGGAAGCUUGGAUAGUUACAAAGUGCGAUUGGUAGUUGAAGGAUACACACAUAAACAUGCUGUGGAUUAUGAUAAAACGUUCGCACCGGUAGCAAAAAUAAGUACCAUACAGAUUCUACUGUCACUUGCAGUAAAUAAAGAAUGGCCACUACAACGGCUUGAUGUAAAAAAUGCAUUCUUGAAUGGAACCCUUG